GUAUUGGUGGCCCAGUGGUUGAGCUCCCGCCUGCCACGCCGGUGGCCCAGGUUCGUGUCCCAGACAAUGCC
rnacentral:tRNA from 1 species